rnacentral:rRNA from 1 species
GACGAACGCUGGCGGCACGCCUAACACAUGCAAGUCGAACGGACUUAAAAGAGCUUGCUUUUUUAAGUUAGUGGCGGACGGGUGAGUAACACGUGAGCAACCUGCCUCUGAGAGGGGGAUAGCUUCUGGAAACGGAUGGUAAUACCCCAUAAAAUAUAAAUAUCGCAUGAUAGAUAUAUCAAAGAAAUUCGCUCAGAGAUGGGCUCGCGUCUGAUUAGAUAGUUGGUGAGGUAACGGCUCACCAAGUCGACGAUCAGUAGCCGGACUGAGAGGUUGAACGGCCACAUUGGGACUGAGACACGGCCCAGACUCCUACGGGAAGCAGCAGUGGGGAAUAUUGCACAAUGGAGGGAACUCUGAUGCAGCGAUGCCGCGUGGAGGAAGAAGGUUUUCGGAUUGUAAACUCCUUUUAUCAGGGACGAUAAUGACGGUUCCUGAAGAAAAAGCUCCGGCUAACUACGUG